rnacentral:tRNA from 2 species
GCACCCGUAGCUCAGCUGGAUAGAGCAUCUGAUUCCGGUUCAGAGGGUCGGGGGUUCGAAUCCCUCCGGGUGUG